rnacentral:tRNA from 1 species
ACCUGGCUGGCUCAGUUGGUAGAGCAUGCAACUCCGGAUCUGAGGGUCAUGGGUUCAAGCUCCAUGCUGGGUG